GUCCUGGCCGUAAACGUUGGGCACUAGGUGUUGGAGGCAUCGACCCCUCCAGUGCCGCAGCUAACGCAUUAAGUGCCCCGCCUGGGGAGUACGGCCGCAAGGUUGAAACUCAAAGGAAUUGAUGGGGGCCCGCACAAGCGGUGGAGCAUGUGGUUUAAUUCGACGCAACGCGAAGAACCUUACCCAGACUUGACAUGCACGGGACCGGUGUUGAAAUACACCUUCCCUUCGGGGCUCGUGCACAGAUGCUGCAUGGCUGUAGU
rnacentral:rRNA from 1 species